AUGUAAAUGCUCCAUUAAUGUAGAGAGAAAGAGAAAGAUGGUUAAGGAUAGGAGACGUGUAAGGUAUUUUUGGAAUAAAAGAAAAUAGUGAGGAGAUGUAGAAUAUUUUUGAAAUAAAUUAAAAUAGUGGAGAGGUACAGGUACCACUUGGGGGAGGUGGAGGGAUCAACACCCAUACUUUGAUGAUAAAAUUUGAAAAAUAAAAACAAUAAAAUUUGUGAAAUUAAAUAUUUAGUGAUAAAAUAUAUGCACUAAGCCAAUCAAAAUAUGAAUUUGAUUUUCAAAGAAAAAUGUAUCGUUUUGUUUUGACUUUAUUUUUCGUUUU
rnacentral:lncRNA from 1 species